rnacentral:rRNA from 1 species
AGUGAACGCUGGCGGUAGGCCUAACACAUGCAAGUCGAACGGCAGCACAGUAAGAGCUUGCUCUUACGGGUGGCGAGUGGCGGACGGGUGAGGAAUACAUCGGAAUCUACUUUUUCGUGGGGGAUAACGUAGGGAAACUUACGCUAAUACCGCAUACGACCUACGGGUGAAAGCAGUGGAUCUUCGGACCUUGCGCGAUUGAAUGAGCCGAUGUCGGAUUAGCUAGUUGGCGGGGUAAAGGCCCACCAAGGCGACGAUCCGUAGCUGGUCUGAGAGGAUGAUCAGCCACACUGGAACUGAGACACGGUCCAGACUCCUACGGGAGGCAGCAGUGGGGAAUAUUGCACAAUGGGCGCAAGCCUGACGCAGCCACACCGCGUGAGUGAAGAAGGCCUUCGGGUUGUAAAGCCCUUUUAUUGGGAAAGAAAAGCAGCAGGUUAAUACCCCGCUGUUCUGACGGUACCCAAAGAAUAAGCACCGGCUAACUUCGUG